rnacentral:rRNA from 1 species
UAAUUUAAAGUCUAACCUGCCCAAUGAAAAUUUUAAUGGCCGCAGUAUUUUGACUGUGCAAAGGUAGCAUAAUCAUUAGUUUUUUAAUUAAAAACUGGAAUGAAAGGUUGAACGAAAAAAUAAUUGUCUCUUUAUAAUUUUUUUAGAAUUUUAUUUUUAAGUUAAAAAGCUUAAAUAUAUUUAAAAGACGAGAAGACCCUAUAGAGUUUUAUAUUUUAAAAAUUAUUAUUUUAAUUGAAUUUUUAAAAUGUAAUUUUAAAGAAUAUUUAAUUGGGGUGAUUGAAAAAUUUAAAAAACUUUUUUUUUAUACAACUUUUAUAAAUGAAUAAUUGAUCCAUUUUUAUGAUUAAAAGAUUAAAUUACCUUAGGGAUAACAGCGUUAUUUCUUUUUAGAGUUCUUAUCAAUAAAGAAGUUUGCGACCUCGAUGUUGGAUUAAAAUAAAUUUAUGGUGUAGAAGCUAUAAUAUUAGGUCUGUUCGACCUUUAAAAUUUU